GUGGAAGAGGCAGGAGUGAUCGAAUUUUAAGUGUCGCGCCGUGAUGUGUGUUUAAAGUUGAGUCAGCUAAGGAAAAGUGCCAAGUUCCGUAUAGCUACUAGUUUCGUGCGUGUGUUUUAGUAUUGUGCAGGUUUGUGGCAUACUGCGAAACCCCACACAUCGCACCCCAAAGCCAACGAUCGCUUCUGACCCCACCGUCAGCUACGAGGGUUUCCCGGAAGUACGUCGACCGGAAGAGGGCUUGCGUACGUUUCAUCGCGCCCUAGGCAGAGGUUGCAGUCAUCCGCGUUCAUCAUUGAAUUGCGCCAACCACAUACAGUUCAUCACCGCGACGACCGUACCCGUUCAUCGCCGCUGCGUGAAGCCCACAGACCGGAGGGAAUAUCAUCUGCGUCAACGUCAGCGACGCGAGCUUCGAUCAACGGUGCUCAUCGAAUGAACGACUGUUUGAUUUUCGAAUUCCCUCCACCAAA